rnacentral:rRNA from 1 species
AUGGAUGAUGUCGAUCCCUGUAGGAUAGGGAUUACUGGUGAAUCACUCAGAGAAGCAAGAAUUGAUUCAGGGAAGAGUGAAAUAGAUGCAGAGGUUGUGAUAAAGGUUUGGGAUAAGAUAGCACCUAUUAUGGCUUCACAGUUUGAUGCUCCCUACUCAGUUCCUCCGAUUGCACCACGUCCACUCCUCCUAAAUGGUGCUGACGACCCUCGUUGCCCAGUCCUUGGUCUACAAGAACCUGCCUCAAAAGCUGUUGAGGCUUAUGCAGAAGCUAGUUCUGCGGAUAGGUUCAAAGUUGCAAUAGGCUAUUGCCACAACCCAGUUUUGGUUGCGACAUGUUAG